rnacentral:rRNA from 1 species
GGUUAAUGCUAGCGGUGCGCCUAACACAUGCAAGUCGAGCGAGAGACUUCGGUCUCUAGCGGCGGACGGGUGAGUAACACGUGGGUAACCUGCCUCAUAGAGGGGGAUAGCCUUCCGAAAGGAAGAUUAAUACCGCAUAUACUCUCGAUACCACAUGGUAUUUAGAGGAAAGGAGCAAUCCGCUAUGAGAUGGACCCGCGGCGCAUUAGCUGGUUGGUGAGGUAACGGCUCACCAAGGCGACGAUGCGUAGCCGACCUGAGAGGGUGAUCGGCCACAUUGGAACUGAGACACGGUCCAGACUCCUACGGGAGGCAGCAGUGGGGAAUAUUGCACAAUGGGCGAAAGCCUGAUGCAGCAACGCCGCGUGAGUGAUGACGGCCUUCGGGUUGUAAAGCUCUGUCUUUUGGGACGAUAAUGACGGUACCAAAGGAGGAAGCCACGGCUAACUACGUGCCAGCCGCCGCAGUAAUAC